UACGGAGGGGGCUAGCGUUGUUCGGAAUUACUGGGCGUAAAGCGUGCGUAGGUGGUUUGUUAAGUCUGAUGUGAAAGCCCUGGGCUCAACCUGGGAACGGCAUUGGAAACUGGCUUACUAGAGUGCGGUAGAGGGGUGUGGAAUUCCCGGUGUAGCAGUGAAAUGCGUAGAUAUCGGGAGGAACAUCUGUGGCGAAGGCGACACCCUGGACCAGCACUGACACUGAGGCACGAAAGCGUGGGGAGCAAACAGG
rnacentral:rRNA from 1 species